UNUGACUUGAGUGCAGAAGGGGAGAGUGGAAUUCCAUGUGUAGCGGUGAAAUGCGUAGAUAUAUGGAGGAACACCAGUGGCGAAAGCGGCUCUCUGNUCUGUCACUGACGCUGAGGCUCGAAAGCGUGGGUAGCGAACAGGAUUAGAUACCCUGGUAGUNCACGCCGUAAACGAUGAGUGCUAGGUGUUAGGCCCUUUCCGGGGCUUAGUGCCGGAGCUAACGCAAUAAGCACUCCGCCUGGGGAGUACGACCGCAAGGUUGAAACUCAAAGGAAUUGACGGGGGCCCGCACAAGCGGUGGAGCAUGUGGUUUAAUUCGAAGCAACGCGAAGAGCCUUACCAGGUCUUGACAUCCCGAUGCUAUUCUUAGAGAUAGGAAGUUACUUCGGUACAUCGGAGACAGGUGGUGCAUGGUUGUCGUCAGCUCGUGUCGUGAGAUGUUGGGUUAAGUCCCGCAACGAGCGCAACCCUUAUUGUUAGUUGCCAUCAUUAAGUUGGGCACUCUAGCGAGACUGCCGGUAAUAAACCGGAGGAAGGUGGGGAUGACGUCAAAUCAUCAUGCCCCUUAUGACCUGGGCUACACACGUGCUACAAUGGUCGGUACAACGAGUUGCGAGCCGGUGACGGCAAGCUAAUCUCUGAAAGCCGAUCUCAGUUCGGAUUGGAGGCUGCAACUCGCCUCCAUGAAGUCGGAAUCGCUAGUAAUCGCGGAUCAGCACGCCGCGGUGAAUACGUUCCCGGGCCUUGUACACACCGCCCGUCACACCACGAGAGUUUGUAACACCCGAAGUCGGUGAGGUANCCUUUUAGGG
rnacentral:rRNA from 1 species